rnacentral:rRNA from 1 species
GCCAGACUCCUACGGGAGGCAGCAGUGAGGAAUAUUGGUCAAUGGCCGAGAGGCUGAACCAGCCAAGUCGCGUGAGGGAAGACGGCCCUACGGGUUGUAAACCUCUUUUGUCGGGGAGCAAAGCGAGUCACGUGUGACUCAUUGAGAGUACCCGAAGAAAAAGCAUCGGCUAACUCCGUGCCAGCAGCCGCGGUAAUACGGAGGAUGCGAGCGUUAUCCGGAUUUAUUGGGUUUAAAGGGUGCGCAGGCGGGGAGUUAAGUCAGGGGAAAAUUUUGGGGGCCAACCCCCGACAAGCCGUUGAAACUGGCUUGCUAGAGUGGGCGAGAAGUAUGCGGAAUGCGUGGUGUAGCGGUGAAAUGCAUAGAUAUCACGCAGAACUCCGAUUGCGAGGGCAGCAUACCGGCGCCCAACUGACGCUCAGGCACGAAAGCGUGGGUAUCGAACAGGAUUAGAUACCCCCGUA